UACGAAGGGGGCUAGCGUUGCUCGGAAUCACUGGGCGUAAAGGGUGCGUAGGCGGGUCUUUUAAGUCAGGGGUGAAAUCCUGGAGCUCAACUCCAGAACUGCCUUUGAUACUGAAGAUCUUGAGUUCGGGAGAGGUGAGUGGAACUGGCGAGUGUAGAGGUGAAAUUCGUAGAUAUUCGCAAGAACACCAGUGGCGAAGGCGGCUCACUGGCCCGAUACUGACGCUGAGGCACGAAAGCGUGGGGAGCAAACAGGG
rnacentral:rRNA from 1 species